rnacentral:rRNA from 1 species
CGUUAGUGGCGGACGGCUGAGUAACGCGUGGGUGACCUGCCCCGAAGUGGGGAAUAACUGCCCGAAAGGGUGGCUAAUACCGCAUGUGGUGGUGCCUUCAUUGGUACCAGUAAAGCCGCAAGGCGCUUCGGGAGGGGCCUGCGUCCGAUUAGCUCGUUGGUGGGGUAACGGCUUACCAAGGCGACGAUCGGUAGGUGGUCUGAGAGGACGAUCACCCAGACUGGGACUGAGACACGGCCCAG